GUCGUCCUCGUCGUCCUCGUCGUCCUCGCAAAUGCGGACUCAGAGCAAAGCAGCUCCCUUUGGCACGGGGAGGAGCGCCGCUAACUCGACCACGCUCGCUCCCGUGAGGCGGCUCGCUUGCCGGCGAUCUCCGACGGACGGCUCGCUAGGAGAAGCCAUUCCAGACGUUUGGGCUGCUGCUGCGUAAUCUCUCCUUGGAAUGCUGGGGACAUCACACCCGAAAUGCUUGGGCGUUUGCUUUGUUGUUCAACAGACGCCUGCAGUUCCCGUUCUGGCAGCGGCUCGGUGCAAGCGCAGGCCCAAGGGAGAUGUCAGCUGCGGAGACGUGCCCUUCCUCCACAGCACGGGAAAGCAAGUCGGGGAGAAGAGCUGGAGGCAGCUGAACCUAUAUGAGAAAAUGGAACUGAGAGACCCUGUGAAGGAGGAGAUCCCUGAGAAAAGCGCAACACCAGCCAGAAGCUCAGCCUCGGAUACCUGCACAUGGCCGUCAGACAGAAGACGGGCAUGAAGACGAGAGCAGGGUCAGACCCUAAAGAACAGCAAGGCCACCUUGGCUAUGGAGCAGACAGUGGACCUGAAAUUGCAACAAGAAACAGGCUGCUCUUCAUUAACAUCCGUCGUUGCCGUCAUCCUCCCUACGGCUUCUCCUGUAAGAAGAUGUGGAAGAAGAGAAACUGAGCACAAAGCUGCCACCAUAUGUGCAAAAACCCCUGCAGAAUAAAAAGUCCUGCUCAGCA
rnacentral:lncRNA from 1 species